AACAAACGCUGGCGGCGUGCCUAAUACAUGCAAGUCGAACGGGGUAGCAAUACCUAGUGGCGCACGGGUGAGGAACGCGUGGAUAAUCUGCCUUAGAGUGGGGGAUAACUAGUCGAAAGAUUAGCUAAUACCGCAUAAGACCACAGGAGCUGCGGCUCUAGGGGUCAAAGGUUUUUCGCACUAAGAUGAGUCCGCGUAAGAUUAGCUAGUUGGUGAGGUAACGGCUCACCAAGGCGACGAUCUUUAACUGGUCUGAGAGGAUGAUCAGUCACACUGGAACUGAGACACGGUCCAGACUCCUACGGGAGGCAGCAGUAGGGAAUAUUGCACAAUGGAGGAAACUCUGAUGCAGCGACGCCGCGUGAGUGAUGAAGGCCUCCGGGUCGUAAAGCUCUGUCGCAGGGGAAUAACACAAUGAAUGUACCCUGUAAGAAAGGAUCGGCUAACUUCGUGCCAGCCGCCGCCGUAAAAC
rnacentral:rRNA from 1 species